rnacentral:piRNA from 1 species
UUUGGACAUACGCUGGGGUGGCUUU